GACGAACGCUGGCGGCGUGCUUAACACAUGCAAGUCGAACGGAAAGGCCCUGCUUUUGUGGGGUGCUCGAGUGGCGAACGGGUGAGUAACACGUGAGUAACCUGCCCUUGACUUUGGGAUAACUUCAGGAAACUGGGGCUAAUACCGGAUAGGAGCUCCUGCUGCAUGGUGGGGGUUGGAAAGUUUCGGCGGUUGGGGAUGGACUCGCGGCUUAUCAGCUUGUUGGUGGGGUAGUGGCUUACCAAGGCUUUGACGGGUAGCCGGCCUGAGGGGGUGACCGGCAACAUUGGGACUGAGAUACGGCCCAGACUCCUACGGGAGGCAGCAGUGGGGAAUAUUGCACAAUGGGCGGAAGCCUGAUGCAGCAACGCCGCGUGCGGGAUGACGGCCUUCGGGUUGUAAACCGCUUUCGCCUGUGACGAAGCGUGAGUGACGAUAAUGGGUAAAGAAGCACCGGCUAACUACGUG
rnacentral:rRNA from 1 species